rnacentral:tRNA from 1 species
UAUGUCUAGGUGUAUGAAGCACAAAAGUUUUUGAUACUUUAGGAAGUAGUUUGAAUCUACUAGGUAUAA